UCCGAGUUGACCCCGGCAGUCUCCUAUGAGUUCCCACCAUUACGUGCUGGCAACAUAGAACGAGGGUUGCGCUCGUUGCGGGACUUAACCCAACAUCUCACGACACGAGCUGACGACAGCCAUGCAGCACCUCGACUCCCGUCCCUUGCGAGAAGUCCCUGUUUCCAAGGAUAGUCCAUAGCCGUUCGAGCCCAGGUAAGGUUCUUCGCGUUGCGUCGAAUUGAACCACAUGCUCCACCGCUUGUGCGGGCCCCCGUCAAUUCCUUUGAGUUUCAGCCUUGCGGCCGUACUCCCCAGGCGGGGUACUUCCUGCGUUAGCGCCGGCACCCAAGGGGUCGCUCCCCCAGGCACCUAGUACCCAUCGUUUACGGCGUGGACUAC
rnacentral:misc_RNA from 1 species